rnacentral:sRNA from 12 species
CCUGUGGAGCGUCAUAAAAAACGCAAGUAGUGUCGACAAAAAGCGGACGCGCUGAAGCAGGAA